AUUGAAUUGAAGACAGCGUGUGAAUUUCUUAUCCUAAAUCAAUUAUAAAUAAUACUUAACUAUCCUAUAACUAUUAGUGCUACAAUCAAUCUAUUUACAAGCUUAGUACUAGAUUCUUUCCACCAAGUAGCUGAAACCAACCUAACCCUUAUCUACUUAUGCUGUAAAGUGCACAAUCACGACACGACAGACAGAUUUCGACAAGACAGACUACGACUGACAAACUACGAACGAUCAUAAAG